UACCAUUUAAGUACAAGAUGUCCUUGACUCUUCAUCAACUGCUACAUUAAUAAUGAACAUAACCCUGGGAAAUUUGGGGAUUUCAUAUGGUGCGAAGAGAGGUCACUUUGAGGUAUUCAGCUGGUGGAUGGCUUCUCUUACAUGUCCCCUUGGCAGGGAUCACUAGAAGUCUGGCUCAGCUGGGGCUAUUCACCAUGGUGGCUACAUAAUGGCUUCUCCAGUAUGGUGAUUUCAGGUUAGUUGAAUUUUUACAUUAUAGCUCAAGACUAGCAAACAUAGUGUUUGAAGAAGCUUGAGUGGAAGCUUCAAGACUUAUGACCAAGAUUAGAAGUCCUGGAAUGUCACUUCUACCAUUUUCUACUGCUCAAGAAAGUCACUAAGACCAGCCCAAAUCCAAGGAGAGAGGAAUUAGAUUUCAACUCUCAACAGGAGAAGUACCAUACUAAAGACUAUAUGACCAUCUUUGAAAUAACGCCUUUCAGGAGCACAAGAGUUGAUGAAAGAAAACACUCUCAAAGUCAAGUUUGCUGUAGCCUGUAUACCUGAAAACGGUGGGCUUGAGAGGCCGGGAAGAGAAAGAAAGAAGAGGGAUAGUAACAACCUAAACAGCAAAGACUUGGAACUUGAAAUUAAAAAGAUAUACACCUAUCUAUGUAUUUCUGAUAUGUUUGUCAUAAUUUCAACCAAAGUUCAUGAUCUAUAGAAUUUUGCAUAAAUAAAAAAUAUCAUUUGGUUAGU
rnacentral:lncRNA from 10 species